rnacentral:sRNA from 2 species
AAUGAAGAAGUGCUGAAUCCUAAGAUGAUAAAUAAUUAGGUACGGAGGAACCAGUAAAUUGGGGUUAAUCUUGACAAUAUUAUUUGUUGAGUAGGGGAACCUUAACCCGAACCCGGCAGCUAACUUCGGAAGCAAGAAAGGUGGAAAAU